AUGAGUGAACUGGUUUUUUUUUUUGCUUUUUUAUGUCGGGCUAUUAUAUCAGCAGCGGGGCGGUUCAUGAUAACAAUUUUAUGGUUUCAAUACAGGGACCUGUUUCUAAACUGCAUUGGGAUGGCUUUAGAACAUGUUUGCAGUUUUUAUGGUGAACUAAUUCUUGAGGUUUUUUACAUGCAGGGAAAUGUGUCUGUUUAUUUAUGCAGGUUGUGGGUCUGUGUUGGAAUUUUAACUAGUUCUGUUUAA